CAAAAAUGAAACUGGUCAUCCUCUGCCUCUGUCUGGCUAGUACAGCAUCAGCUGCACCAUCGCCGUUUCAUUACCUGUCUCAUUACACAGGCUCCAGACAGCAGCUACCAUCCUCACAGAUGAGAAAUCCUUUUGCAGCUGGUCCGUCUCCCCCACAAACUGCAAUCCCUGGCGCUUACAGUGUGGAAAUA